GGAAUGGUAAAAUUCUAUAAAGUAAAAACAACCUUCUUAGCAGAAUAGUCUCUACAGUCUCGAAGAAUUGAAAAAAUAAAAAGACAUUUGGUGACGACUUCAACGAUCCUAUUUAAGACGUCGCUAAUAACACAUGUUAGCCACAAUGGAUCCACCACUAAAUCCUCUUAGUGAUGUAAUAAACUGCCACUGGUAUACAGAAAACAUGCUUUCAGCGACUGAGUGAAUGCGUCGCUAAAAUAUUGGCCUAGCGCGAAGGGAUAUUUUGCUCGGUUGUUGCUGGACAAUUUUGAUUUGACCUCAGAUUUGACUGUGCAAUUUGG
rnacentral:misc_RNA from 1 species